UCGCCCCGGGAUGAACCUAAGCGAGAUUAGCUUGUUGGUGAGGUAACGGCUCACCAAGGCGACGAUCUCUAGCUGUUCUGAGAGGAAGAUCAGCCACACUGGGACUGAGACACGGCCCAGACUCCUACGGGAGGCAGCAGUGGGGAAUAUUGCACAAUGGGGGAAACCCUGAUGCAGCCAUGCCGCGUGUGUGAAGAAGGCCUUAGGGUUGUAAAGCACUUUCAGUUGUGA
rnacentral:rRNA from 1 species